rnacentral:rRNA from 1 species
CCUACGGGUGGCUGCAGUGGGGAAUAUUGCACAAUGGGGGAAACCCUGAUGCAGCAACGCCGCGUGAGUGAAGGAGGUUUUCGGAUUGUAAAGCUCUGUUAGCAGGGAAGAGUAAGGACGGUACCUGCAGAGGAAGCCACGGCUAACUACGUGCCAGCAGCGGCGGUCAUACGUAGGUGGCAAGCGUUGUUCGGAAUAACUGGGCGUAACGGAUGCGUAGGCGGUUAAACAAGUUAUAGGUAAAAGAUAUAGGUUCAACCUGUGGAAAGCAUAUAAAACUGUUUAGCUAGAGUGCGGGAGGGGUAAGGGGAAUGUGUGGUGUAGCGGUGAAAUGCGUAGAGAUCAGGAAGAACACCAGUUGCGAAGGCGUCUGACGGAACUGCAAUUGACGCUGAUGCACGAGAGCAUGGGGAUCAAACAGGAUUAGAUACCCGUGUAGUC